AUGUUCACUUCAGCAGCACCUAUGCCAAAACUGGAACCAUACAGAGGAAAUUAGCAUGGCCCCUGUGCAAGGAUGAAGUGCAGCCUUGUGAAGCAUUCCAUAUUUCC
ensembl:snRNA U6 U6 spliceosomal RNA